rnacentral:lncRNA from 1 species
GAUUGAUCCUAGGACCAAAUGGGAGUUUGGAUCUGCCCUCAGCCUUUCCCAGCUGUGGGAGAAGCAGAACUUGACAGCACUGUGAUUUGAGCAUCAGAGAAUGAGAUGUGAAGCACCAACUC